rnacentral:misc_RNA from 1 species
UCGUAACAAGGUUUCCGUAGGUGAACCUGCGGAAGGAUCAUUAGUGAAUUGAGCUGGCUUCGGCCGCUCUGAUCUAUACACACCUGUGAACUGUUGGCCUUCGGGUCUUUAAAUACAACUGUGACGAACGUAAAUUAUUAUAACAAAUAAAACUUUUAACAACGGAUCUCUUGGCUCUCGCAUCGAUGAAGAACGCAGCGAAAUGCGAUAAGUAAUGUGAAUUGCAGAAUUCAGUGAAUCAUCGAAUCUUUGAACGCACCUUGCGCCCGUUGGUAUUCCGACGGGCAUGCCUGUUUGAGUGUCGUGAACAACCUCAACCUUGAUUGGUUUUACCAUCAAGGUUUGGACUUGGGUGUUGCUGCUGCAAAGUGGCUCGCCUUAAAACUAUUAGCUGGACUUGUCUAUGACUUGGUUCGACUCGAUGUAAUAAGUAUUCAUCGGGGACAAGGUAACACCUGGCCAAGGCUUGAUGCCGUCUGCUUCUAAUCAUGUUCUCACUAUGAGACGCUACUUUACUGUGUGGCCUCAAAUCAGGUAGGAUUACCCGCUGAACUUAAGCAUAUCAAUAA